AGGAUGAACGCUGGCGGCGUGCUUAACACAUGCAAGUCGAACGAUGAAGGCUGGAGCUUGCUCUGGCUGGAUUAGUGGCGAACGGGUGAGUAACACGUGAGUAACCUGCCCCCGACUCUGGGAUAAGCGCUGGAAACGGCGUCUAAUACCGGAUACGAGCUUCCGCCGCAUGGUGAGGAGCUGGAAAGAAUUUCGGUCUGGGAUGGACUCGCGGCCUAUCAGCUUGUUGGUGAGGUAAUGGCUCACCAAGGCGAACGACGGGUAGCCGGCCUGAGAGGGUGACCGGCCACGACUGGGACUGAGACACGGCCCAGACUCCGUACGGGAGGCAGCAGGUGGGGAAUAGUUGCAACAAGUGGGCGCAAGCCUGAUGCAGCAACGCCGCGUGAGGACGAGCCGUU
rnacentral:rRNA from 1 species